rnacentral:rRNA from 1 species
AGGCAUCUUUUUGUUUUUAAAAGACCUUCUUACGAAGGUAUGCUUAAAGAGGGGCUUGCGCCACAUUAGUUAGUUGGUAGAGUAAAAGCCUACCAAGACGAUGAUGUGUAGCUGGACUGAGAGGUUGAACAGCCACAUUGGGACUGAGACACGGCCCAAACUCCUACGGGAGGCAGCAGUAGGGAAUUUUCGGCAAUGGAGGAAACUCUGACCGAGCAACGCCGCGUGAACGAUGAAGUAUUUCGGUAUGUAAAGUUCUUUUAUUGAAGAAGAAAAAGUAGUGGAAAAACUAUAUUGACGUUAUUCAAUGAAUAAGCCCCGGCUAACUAUGUGCCAGCAGCCGCGGUAAGACAUAGGGGGCGAGCGUUAUCCGGAAUUAUUGGGCGUAAAGGGUGCGUAGGCUGUUAGAUAAGUCUAUAAUUUAAUUUCAGUGCUUAACGCUGUCUUGUUAUAGAAACUGUCUUGACUAGAGUGAGAUAGAGGCAAGCGGAAUUCCAUGUGUAGCGGUAAAAUGUGUAAAUAUAUGGAGGAACACCAGAAGCGUAGGCGGCUUGCUGGGUCUUUACUGACGCUGAGGCACGAAAGCGUGGGUAGCAAACAGGAUUAGAUACCCUGGUAGUCCACGCCGUAAACGAUGAGUACUAAGUGUCGGGGUAAAACUCGGUACUGAAGUUAACACAUUAAGUACUCCGCCUGAGUAGUACGUACGCAAGUAUGAAACUUAAAGGAAUUGACGGGACUCCGCACAAGCGGUGGAUCAUGUUGUUUAAUUCGAAGAUACACGAAAAAUCUUACCAGGUCUUGACAUACUCUGCAAAGCUAUAGAAAUAUAGUGGAGGUUAUCAGGGAUACAGGUGGUGCAUGGUUGUCGUCAGUUCGUGUCGUGAGAUGUUAGGUUAAGUCCUAAAACGAACGCAACCCUUGUCGUUAAUUGCCAGCACAUAAUGGUGGGGACUUUAACGAGACUGCCAAUUAAACAUUGGAGGAAGGUGAGGAUUACGUCAAAUCAUCAUGCCCCUUAUGAUCUGGGCUACAAACGUGAUACAAUGGCUGUGACAAAGAGUAGCUGAAACGCGAGUUUUUAGCCAAUCUCAAAAAAGCAGUCUCAGUUCGGAUUGAAGUCUGUAACUCGACUUCAUGAAGUUGGAAUCGCUAGUAAUCGCGAAUCAGCAUGUCGCGGUGAAUACGUUCUCGGGGUUUGUACACACCGCCCGUCAAACCACGAAAGUUAGCAAU